rnacentral:misc_RNA from 1 species
AAUGCUAGUCAUAUAAACACGUAAACUCAGGGAUUUAAUAAUAUCUGAGCACCUAUGAAAUUGGCUCCUUUAAGAAACUUUCACACAGGAAAGGAAAAUACAAUUUCAUUUGCAAUGAUGUCAUUUAAAACAAGAAAUCACACCGUUGUGGUGGCCAUAUAUUUUGGUACAACGUAUUCAGACUACGCCUUUUCUAUCCGUUCUGAUUUUUUGAAAGAUAAACACGAUCGUUUAAAUAGAAUUUCCACAGAUAGUUGGAAUUGUGAUGAUUUUGUAUCGGAUAAAACACCAACAACUCUGUUACUUGACAAAGACAAGAAAUUUGUCAGUUUUGGUUAUAAUGCAGAAAAUGACUAUAGUAGGAUGACCGAAGAAAAGAGGAAGGACCAUUACUAUUUUCGCCGAUUUAAGAUGAUGCUUUACAACAAAGAUGGCAAAUUGGGGAGUCCAGUAAAAAAAAUGCAAUGCAUUUGAACUAGCUGCAGGUCUGUAGCUCCCGGUCAGAAAAAAUCGGAUCCGAUUUUUUUCAGACCGGAAGCUACAGACCGGAAGCUACAUUAGAACAUAACAUGACAAUGAAAUGGUGAUUGCUGAAAUUGACAAGACAUACUGUGCUAAAAGACAUGAGAGAUAAAGAAUUGCCAGCUAUGGAUAUCUUUACAUAUUUCAUCAAAUAUCUUAAGGAUGAAUUCGUUGAAAAAUUUCAAAGGAGAAAUUUACAAGUAACCAUUUUGCCUUUGGACGAAAACGUUACUUGGGUGUUGACAGUGCCAGCCAUCUGGGACGAGCCAGCGAAACAGUUCAUGGAGGAAGCAGCUGAACGUGAAAUGUCUGAUAACACUUAACAAAAUUAUCGUUAUACAUGUAAUAAUCAGUAUAAAAAAUCUUUACGUGAUUUUUAUUGUUAUCAACAGUAGACAGGAAUUUCAAAAAAGUCUCUCCUCAUAUGCUUGGAGCCAGAGGCUGCAGCCAUUUAUUGCAAAUGGCUCCAGAUGGAGAGGGACAACGAAGCUUUGGACACUAUGAAACCAGGCCGUAGGUUUCUUGUGCUAGAUGCUGAAUGUAUAUGAAUAGACCUGCAUGAUUGAAUAAGUUGUUGUUGUUUUUCAAGUUAAAUAAGUUUAUCAAAUUGGUGUCUUUUUACACAAAGACAUAUAAUUAUAUAUAUUCAUAAUAUAUCGUUUGACACUUUU